rnacentral:rRNA from 1 species
UGAGGAAUAUUGGUCAAUGGGCGAGAGCCUGAACCAGCCAAGUAGCGUGCAGGAUGACGGCCCUAUGGGUUGUAAACUGCUUUUGUAUGGGGAUAAAGUCAAUCACGUGUGAUUGUUUGCAGGUACCAUACGAAUAAGGACCGGCUAAUUCCGUGCCAGCAGCCGCGGUAAUACGGAAGGUCCAGGCGUUAUCCGGAUUUAUUGGGUUUAAAGGGAGCGUAGGCCGGAGAUUAAGUGUGUUGUGAAAUGUAGACGCUCAACGUCUGACUUGCAGCGCAUACUGGUUUCCUUGAGUACGCACAACGUUGGCGGAAUUCGUCGUGUAGCGGUGAAAUGCUUAGAUAUGACGAAGAACUCCGAUUGCGAAGGCAGCUGACGGGAGCGCAACUGACGCUUAAGCUCGAAGGUGCGGGUAUCGAACAGGAUUAGAUACCCUGGUAGUCCGCACAGUAAACGAUGGAUGCCCGCUGUUGGUACCUGGUAUCAGCGGCUAAGCGAAAGCAUUAAGCAUCCCACCUGGGGAGUACGCCGGCAACGGUG